UAGGGAAUCUUCGGCAAUGGGGGCAACCCUGACCGAGCAACCNCGCGUGAGUGAAGAAGGUUUUCGGAUCGUAAAGCUCUGUUGUAAGUCAAGAACGAGUGUGAGAGUGGAAAGUUCACACUGUGAUGGUAGCUUACCAGAAAGGGACGGCUAACUACGUGCCAGCAGCCGCGGGUAAUACGUAGGUCCCGAGCGUUGUCCGGAUUUAUUGGGCGUAAAGCGAGCGCAGGCGGUUUGAUAAGUCUGAAGUUAAAGGCUGUGGCUCAACCAUAGUUCGCUUUGGAAACUGUCAAACUUGAGUGCAGAAGGGGAGAGUGGAAUUCCAUGCGUAGCGGUGAAAUGCGUAGAUAUAUGGAGGAACACCGGUGGCGAAAGCGGCUCUCUGGUCUGUAACUGACGCUGAGGCUCGAAAGCGUGGGGAGCGAACAGGAUUAGAUACCCUGGUAGUCCACGCCGUAAACGAUGAGUGCUAGGUGUUGNAUCCUUUUCCNGGAUUCAGUGCCGCAGCUAACGCAUUAAGCACUCCGCCUGGGAGUACGACCGCAAGNUG
rnacentral:rRNA from 1 species